CCUACGGGGGGCAGCAGUGGGGAAUAUUGCACAAUGGGGGAAACCCUGAUGCAGCGACGCCGCGUGAAGGAAGAAGGUUUUCGGAUCGUAAACUUCUAUCAGCAGGGAAGAAGAAAGUGACAGUACCUGACUAAGAAGCCCCGGCUAACUACGUGCCAGCAGCCGCGGUAAUACGUAGGGGGCAAGCGUUAUCCGGAAUCACUGGGUGUAAAGGGUGCGUAGGCGGUAGGGCAAGUCAGAUGUGAAAGCCCGGGGCUCAACCCCGGGAUUGCAUUUGAAGCUGUCUUACUAGAAGGCAGGAGGGGGAAGCAGAAUUCCUAGUGUAGCGGUGAAAUGCGUAGAUAUUAGGAAGAACACCAGUGGCGAAAGCGGGUUUCUGGACUGUGACUGACGCGGAGGCACGAAAGCGUGGGGAGCGAACAGGGUUAGAUUCACGGGUAGUG
rnacentral:rRNA from 1 species